rnacentral:rRNA from 1 species
GUCCACGCCGUAAACGAUGUCAACUAGCCGUUGGUCCUAUUUACAGGAUUAGUGGCGCAGCUAACGCAUUAAGUUGACCGCCUGGGGAGUACGGCCGCAAGGUUAAACUCAAAUGAAUUGACGGGGGCCCGCACAAGCGGUGGAGCAUGUGGUUUAAUUCGAUGCAACGCGAAGAACCUUACCUACCCUUGACAUCCAGAGAAUCUGUUAGAGAUAGUGGAGUGCCUUCGGGAACUCUGAGACAGGUGCUGCAUGGCUGUCGU